CCUACGGGUGGUUGCAGUGAGGAAUAUUGGUCAAUGGGCGGAAGCCUGAACCAGCCAAGUAGCGUGCGGGAUGAAGGCCCUACGGGUCGUAAACCGCUUUGGCACGGGGAUAACACCCGCCACUUGUGGAGGUAUGAAGGUACCGAGCGAAUAAGGGACGUCGAAUACCGUGCAAGCAGCAGCGGUAAGACGGAAGGACCGAGCGUUGUCCGGAUUCAUUGGGCUUAAAGGGAGCGUAGGUGGGCGUUCAAGUCAACUGUAAAAUCGCGCGGCUCAACCGCGCCCCGCAGUUGAAACUGGACGCCUUGAGUUCACAACAGGCAGGCGGAAUUCGUUGUUGAGCUG
rnacentral:rRNA from 1 species